rnacentral:rRNA from 1 species
AUUAUCCUACGGGAGGCAGCAGUGGGGGAUAUUGCACAAUGGGGGGAACCCUGAUGCAGCGACGCCGCGUGGGUGAAGAAGCGCCUCGGCGCGUAAAGCCCUGUCAGCAGGGAAGAAAAUGACGGUACCUGAAGAAGAAGCCCCGGCUAACUACGUGCCAGCAGCCGCGGUAAUACGUAGGGGGCAAGCGUUAUCCGGAUUUACUGGGUGUAAAGGGGGCGCAGACGGCUAUGCAAGCCAGGAGUGAAAGCCCGGGGCCCAACCCCGGGACUGCUCGUGGAACUGCGUGGCUGGAGUGCGGGCGG